AAGAGAUGGAGGAGAGGGUGAGGGGUGUGCAGUCGGUAGUUACCAUGGAGAGAGUGUGUGAGAGGUUUUUCUCUACGAGCAUUGUCACCACCGGUCGACGAUGUAUUAACGUCAGCUAGGCGGCGGGAUCGAAUAGGUUUUACAGCGUAUUGAAUAGCUUUUUGGCACUUUUUCGAAGUUCCAACGUGGAGAGAGAGCACCGGCAUCUGAUGUUGGUGUGGGUUUAACGACAUUUUGAGCAGACAUUCCUGCAUUUGCUUGGCGUCGAGGUUUGAGUGGUUUAGCGGCAGAUUAAAGCGGUUUUCAGGUGUGGGAUGUAGUCACUAGAUUUAAGCAGUUUACUUUUGAGGGCCAUGAUGCACCUGCGUGUUUUAUAUGACCACAUCACAAGGAGAACAUUAAGGAAUCGAUGGAGAUUCAUGUUUUCACAACAAGGUUUUUUGAAACAAUAUUUCAACUUUGGAAGUUUGACCAAAAUCACUAUUGCCUCCUAUGGUAAUACAAAAUGAUGAUUGGACAUGGAAAGAUUUGUGUCAUUACUUGUAUGAAAAGAAGGCAUUUGAUAAUAUUGUUUUAUCUCCUGGGUCUGGUUCGCCAGCAUGUGCCAAUGAUAUAGAAUAAUUGAAGCUAUAUCAGGUUGAAAGCUAAGCGAUUAUGUGGAUGGUUAGGCGACCAUUGAAGGUUGAAGACUGAGAAGGCGUUUAGGAUUUCUUAUUUAAGUCUUGUGUUAGGAUCUUUUUUCAUGUACUGUUGUAGAAUCUAUAUAUAAACACAAUAUUAAUAUUUCAUUGUAUAUACAAAUGUAAAAGACAAAUAUUAUAGUUUCUAAAAUAAUAUUAAUUUCAUUGA